GAUGAACGCUGGCGGCGUGCCUAAUACAUGCAAGUCGAGCGAAUGGAUUAAGAGCUUGCUCUUAUGAAGUUAGCGGCGGACGGGUGAGUAACACGUGGGUAACCUGCCCAUAAGACUGGGAUAACUCCGGGAAACCGGGGCUAAUACCGGAUAACAUUUUGAACCGCAUGGUUCGAAAUUGAAAGGCGGCUUCGGCUGUCACUUAUGGAUGGACCCGCGUCGCAUUAGCUAGUUGGUGAGGUAACGGCUCACCAAGGCAACGAUGCGUAGCCGACCUGAGAGGAUGACCGGCCACACUGGGACUGAGACACGACCCAGACUCCUACGGGAGGCAGCAGUAGGGUAUCUUCCGCAAUGGACGAAAGUCUGACGGAGCAACGCCGCGUGAGUGAUGAAGGCUUUCGGGUCGUAAAACUCUGUUGUUAGGGAAGAACAAGUGCUAGUUGAAUAAGCUGGCACCUUGACGGUACCUAACCAGAAAGCCACGGCUAACUACGUGCCAGCAGCCGCCGUAA
rnacentral:rRNA from 1 species